CCUACGGGAGGCAGCAGUGAGGAAUAUUGGACAAUGGGCGCAAGCCUGAUCCAGCCAUGCCGCGUGCAGGAAGAAGCAUCUAUGGUGUGUAAACUGCUUUUGUACGGGAAGAAACACUCCUUCGUGAAGGAGCUUGACGGUACCGUAAGAAUAAGGAUCGGCUAACUCCGUGCCAGCAGCCGCGGUAAUACGGAGGAUCCAAGCGUUAUCCGGAAUCAUUGGGUUUAAAGGGUCCGUAGGCGGUUUAAUAAGUCAGUGGUGAAAUCUGGUCGCUUAACGAUCAAACGGCCAUUGAUACUGUUAGACUUGAAUUAUUUGGAAGUAACUAGAAUAUGUAGUGUAGCGGUGAAAUGCUUAGAUAUUACAUGGAAUACCAAUUGCGAAGGCAGGUUACUACAAAUGGAUUGACGCUGAUGGACGAAAGCGUGGGGAGCGAACAGGAUUAGAUACCCUGGUAGUCCACGCCGUAAACGAUGGAUACUAGCUGUUGGGAGUAAUCUCAGUGGCUAAGCGAAAGUGAUAAGUAUCCCACCUGGGGAGUACGAACGCAAGUUUGAAACUUCAAAGGAAUUGACGG
rnacentral:rRNA from 1 species